rnacentral:rRNA from 1 species
CAAGGAUUCCCUUAGUACCUGCGAGUGAAGAGGGAAAAGCUCAAAUUUAAAAUCUGGCAGCAUUUUGUUGUCCGAGUUGUAACCUAGAGAAGUGUAACCUGUGCUGGACCGUGUAUAAGUUUCCUGGAAUGGAGCAUCACAGAGGGUGAGAAUCCCGUCUUUGACAUGGACUACCAGUGCAUUGUGGUUGUGCUCUCAACGAGUCGAGUUGUUUGGGAAUGCAGCUCUAAAUGGGUGGUAAAUUCCAUCUAAAGCUAAAUAUUGGCGAGAGACCGAUAGCGAACAAGUACCGUGAGGGAAAGAUGAAAAGAACUUUGGAAAGAGAGUUAAACAGUAUGUGAAAUUGUUGAAAGGGAAACGUUUGAAGUCAGUCGCGUUAGCUGGGGAUCAGCCUGACAUUGUUGGGUGCACUUCCUGGUUGACGGGCCAACAUCAGUUUUGACUGCCAGAAAAAGGCCAAGGGAAUGUGGCACCUUUGGGUGUGUUAUAGCCUUUGGUCAUAUAUGGUGGUUGGGACUGAGGAAUGCAGUGUGCCGAAAGGCCGGGUUUCGACCACGUUCACACUGAGGAUGUUGGCAUAAUGGCUUUAAGCGACCCGUCUUGAAACACGGACCAAGGAGUCUAACAUGCAUGCGAGUGUUUGGGUGGAAAACCCUUACGCGUAAUGAAAGUGAAAGUUGAGAUCCCUGUCAUGGGGAGCAUCGACGCCCGGACCAGAACUUUUGGGACGGAUCUGCGGUAGAGCACGUAUGUUGGGACCCGAAAGAUGGUGAACUAUGCCUGAAUAGGGUGAAGCCAGAGGAAACUCUGGUGGAGGCUCGUAGCGAUUCUGACGUGCAAAUCGAUCGUCAAAUUUGGGUAUAGGGGCGAAAGACU